CCCCCCCAAUGUGGGGCAUAAAGGGUGUUGUCACUGGAUAUAAAAGGCACAAGCGUUCCGUUUGACUCCAGUGACAAACCUAAGCAACUCAUUCAGAAAUGCUUGAAUAGCUUCAGCUCGAUUUGAAUUUGAUGAAAUGGUUGUAUAACCCAGCCUAACACUGAUGGAACCAUUUCUUUUGGUCCUGAGCUUAACUGUUUGUCAUGGUGACGGUGACUGAAGGCGACACAAAUAUGCGCUUAAACACGAAUGUCAAGGCAGCGGUGAACUAGAGCCAGCCUCCAUGCUACUGACAUAUCAGUGGCAGGAUCUGCUUGCAAGUGCAAAUAAAGACACUGAUUGAGAUCGACAAUAGCCAAGCGUAUUAUUUUUUGCUGAACCAGCAUUGGAUUUGAUGGAUUUCAUAAACAACCAGUUCUGACAUGUGCCUGCUGGAGCAAUGAUGUCAUCAGGGCGAGACCAUUGGAAAAGUGACAGUGGGAAGCCAUUAGCACAAGGUGGCUGUCAGUCUUCCUUUUCCCCUUGGGAUCCACAGGUCGAUAUGUACUCCACAGGCAUGGCCUCCAUCUCCUGUCAAAGCAUGCCAUAUCCCUAUCCAACCUCAAUUCCACCCAUCCUUGAUACAUGAGACAAAGUUCAGGCCGAGAAACAGAAAUAGGAAAGUUAGGAAAAAGGGGGCACCCACGGUCAAGCUAACUACACUGUUGGUGGUCCCGCAGUUGGGUCUGGUACCAUGGUAAAACUCUAAAAUGAAUGACAAAGCAUCAGUAAACAAUAGAAACAGAC